AUUGAACGCUGGCGGCAGGCUUAACACAUGCAAGUCGAGCGGUAGCACAAGAGAGCUUGCUCUCUGGGUGACGAGCGGCGGACGGGUGAGUAAUGUCUGGGAAACUGCCUGAUGGAGGGGGAUAACUACUGGAAACGGUAGCUAAUACCGCAUAACGUCGCAAGACCAAAGAGGGGGACCUUCGGGUCUCUUGCCAUCAGAUGUGCCCAGAUGGGAUUAGCUAGUAGGUGGGGUAAUGGCUCACCUAGGCGACGAUCCCUAGCUGGUCUGAGAGGAUGACCAGCCACACUGGAACUGAGACACGGUCCAGACUCCUACGGGAGGCAGCAGUGGGGAAUAUUGCACAAUGGGCGCAAGCCUGAUGCAGCCAUGCCGCGUGUGUGAAGAAGGCCUUCGGGUUGUAAAGCACUUUCAGCGAGGAGGAAGGUGGUGAACUUAAUACGUUCAUCAAUUGACGUUACUCGCAGAAGAAGCACCGGCUAACUCCGUG
rnacentral:rRNA from 1 species